AGUUCAUCCAAUGCAUAGUUUAUACUUUUUUAGGGGUGCUAGACAGAUAUGUCUCUCUGGAGCUGCUUUCUGUUCCUUUCCUCACAAGAUAUUCUCUCUGCUUUCUUGCACAGAUAAAGAGGCCAAGCGUCUAAGCCACAAACCCCAUCUUCCAUCAACUCUAUUUGGUUUUUUCUUCGUCUUUUGCCAAUAUGAAUGACCCCAAAUAUGGUUAUCCGCACCCCCCUCAAGGUAUUACUUGUUUUAUUUUUUCUUUCCUAUUCCUCUUUGAACGACAAUUCCUUGUCAUCAGUACUGGUGGUUGUAUGUUACUGUCAUCAAUUAAGGCACUUGCGUGUUGCACCAUACAUACAGAUGCAUCAUUGUCAGCAUUUAAUCCCAAGUCAUGCACUGAGCACUUUUUUCUUCUUGUCAUCAUGGUACUAAUGAUAAUCCAAUCUUAGCUUGGACAGUUAGAUGACAGCUUCCUUGCUUACAAACUAGUUUUACAGAUGCAAAUAAAUCGGCAGAAUUGAAUGGAUCCUAAGCAAGCUACGCGCACCAAUUUCUUUCUUCUUCUUCUUUUUUUUUUCAAUUUUAGUUUUUCUUGACCAGAAUAAUAUGAUGCAUGAGUUUAUCAAGCGCCGCCUCCCGUGAUGGGACCGCCACAACGGCAAGUAGGCUUUCUUGAGGGAUGUCUGGCAGCUUUAUGUUGCUGAUGUCUCUUGGAUGAGUGCUGCUGUGACCCUGCAGUUGUAUUUUGCCACCUAAUGAUGCCUGUGAUUAGACGGCACAAAGAGGUUUUAUGUGUGUUAUAUUAGGACACAUGUAAAGGUGUUUGUUUGAUUAUAUAGUUAAAACAAUUGAUUGAUGAGCAUGCAAUAUGAUUCCGCUAUCUUAUAUUAUCCAUUCAUA